UAGUACUUCCUUUAAGGACACCCUGC
rnacentral:misc_RNA from 1 species